rnacentral:lncRNA from 1 species
UGUAUUAGGAGUAGUCGAUAUUUGAUUUUUACUCUAGAUAUAUAUGCUAGGAGUAAAAAGGUUCAUGAUGAACUUGGUAUGAUUUGGUUCAUGAACUUGAUGCAUGGUUCGUGACAUUUGGGUAUUAGUGUAUAGGAUUUGAAGAUGAUUUGGUUCAUGAGGUUAAGGUAUAGUUCAUGUGGUUCAUGAGGUUUGGAUGAGGUUUGGUAUGUGAGGUUUGGAUGAGGUUUGGUAUGUGGUUUAUGGUUUGGUUCAUGGGGUUUGGUAUGGUUCAUGGAUUUGGUGUAUGGUUUAUGGAUAUGGUUUAUGGAUAUGGUUUAUAGUUCAUGAACUUGGUUCAUUUGGUUCAUGAACUUGGUUCAUAGAUUUGGUGUAUGGUUUAUGGAUAUGGUUUAUGGAUAUGGUUUAUAGUUCAUGAACUUGGUUCAUUUGGUUCAUGAACUUGGUUCAUAGAUUUGGUGUAUGGUUUAUAGUUCAUGAACUUGGUUCAUGGUUCAUCGGAUAUGGUUCAUGAACUUGAUUUAUGAUCCAUGAACUUGGUGUAUGGUUUAUGAGGUUUGGUUUAUAGUUCAUGAGACUUGGUUCAUGAACUGGGGUAUGGUUCAUGGGAUAUGGUGUAUGGUUCAUGGAGUUUGGUUUAUGGGAUUUAGUAUAUGAACUUGAGUAUGGCUCGUGGUGUUUGGUUCACGAAUUUUGGUUUAUGGCCUUGGUGUAUGGUUCAUGAACUUAGAUAUGAUUCAUGGGAUUUGAUUCAUAAAUUUGGGUAUGGUUUGAGGUGUUUGGUUUACGAACUUGGUUCAUAGUUUAUGGGAUUUGAUUCAUGAGGUUUGGUUUAUUGUUCGUGGUGUUUGGUUCAUGAACUUGGUUUAUGGGAUUUAGUUCAUGAACUUGGGUAUGGUUCGUGAUUGGUUGGAAAAUAUUUUGGAAGUUGGUUGGAAAUUUAAAUGGAAGAUAUUUUGGGAGUUGAUUGGGAAUUCGAAUGGGAGAUAUUUGAGAGUUACUUAGGAUUUGAAUUUUGAAGAUAAUUUUUAAUUGGAUAUUGAAUUUUAGGAUGUGGAUAUGGACCGUCAUU